UUCCGGUUGAUCCCGCCGGACCUGACUGCUAUCGGAUUGAUACUAAGCCAUGCGAGUCAUUGUAGCAAUACAAGGCAUACGGCUCAGUAACGCGUAGUCAACCUACCUUAUGGACGGGGAUAACCUCGGGAAACUGAGAAUAAUACCCGAUAGAACAUAAUUCCUGGAAUGGUUUAUGUUUCAAAUAAUUUAUUGCCGUAGGAUGGGACUGCGGCCUAUCAGUUUGUUGGUGAGGUAAUGGCCCACCAAGACUAUUACAGGUACGGGCUCUGAGAGGAGUAGCCCGGAGAUGGGUACUGAGACACGGACCCAGGCCCUAUGGGGCACAGCAGGCGAGAAAACUUUGCAAUGUGCGAAAGCACGACAAGGUUAAUCCGAGUGGUUUCUGCUAAAGGAACCUUUUGACAGUCAUAGAACCACUGUUGAAUAAGGGGUGGGCAAGUUCUGGUGUCAGCCGCCGCGGUAAAACCAGCACCUCAAGUGGUCAGGAUGAUUAUUGGGCCUAAAGCAUCCGUAGCCUGCUUUGUAAGUUUUCGGUUAAAUCCACACGCUCAACGUAUGGGCUGCCGGGAAUACUGCAAAGCUAGGGAGUGGGAGAGGUAGACGGUACUCGGUAGGAAGGGGUAAAAUCCUUUGAUCUAUUGAUGACCACCUGUGGCGAAGGCGGUCUACCAGAACACGUCCGACGGUGAGGGAUGAAAGCUGGGGGAGCAAGCCGGAUUAGAUACCCGGGUAGUCCCAGCUGUAAACUAUGCAAACUCGGUGAUGCAUUGGCUUGAUGCCAAUGCAGUGCCGCAGGGAAGCCGUUAAGUUUGCCGCCUGGGAAGUACGUACGCAAGUAUGAAACUUAAAGGAAUUGGCGGGGGAGCACCACAAGGGGUGAAGCCUGCGGUUCAAUUGGAUUCAACGCCGGG
rnacentral:rRNA from 1 species